rnacentral:tRNA from 1 species
UAUACUGGCGGAGAGCAUGGAUCAGGAUGCCAGCCUGGGGCGCUGGUGGUCAGGGGUUCAAAUCCCCUCGGUCCCACCA